ACAAUGAUGAUGUCACUGAUUCUACUGCUGGCCACCCUGGGGCUCCUUGUUCAGGAUUCAUCAGGAGAAAUCAUCCUGACUCAGUCUCCUGGAGCUCAGUCUGUUGUUCCAGGACAGACUGUCUCUCUCAGAUGUAAAGCCAGUUCAAGUAUGAGUAACUACCUUCACUGGUACCUUCAGAAACCUGGAGAAUCUCCUCAACUUUUGAUUCGUUAUGCUACAACCCGUCAGUCUGGAGUUUCAGAUCGUUUCAGUGGGAGUCAGUCUGGAACUGACUUCACUUUGACCAUCAGUGGAGUCCAGACUGAAGAUGCAGGAGUUUAUUACUGUCACCAGGGUGGUCACAGCUUCCCAUUCACACAGUGAUACAACGUCGUACAAAAACUUCCCUCAGCUGGAGAGGAACUGAUCUGAAUCACCAGCUGCACAGAAACCAUGACACUAGAUAUUUCAAAAACAUAACCACACUGUAAUGUAAUGUAUGUAAAUGUACUUUAAUUAGAAUGAAACUCAUGCAUUUAAAAGUUGUAAAGUUACAUUUUACUGAAACACACUGAGAGGUUACAAUAAUAAGAAAUGUCAUUUUGUAAGUUUUCCUUUGUUUUAGGUGAGUAUUUUAUAUAAAUUCAAUGCACCUCCAUGUUGAUUUGUAAAAUGUGAAAUCACAUUUAUAUUUUGUUAAUUUGAUAUAUUCUGUGUUGUUGUUUUUUUGCUAAUGAGUCUUCUCAUCAUAAAGCCUAAAAUAUUUUUUGUUUAAACUUUGGUAGAUGUAUUGACAGGACUGAGUAUAUUGUC